AAUUACAAGAGGGCAGGGCUUCUGCAGAAGCUGAGCGGUGCUGGCUCAGAGCAGCCAGGGCUUAUCCAAGGAAGGUUCCAACUUCAACUCAUUUUAAACAAAACGUACUAGAAGCCACAAAAUAUCUGAAAUGCGUAUUUCUGUAAAAGAGAAUCCACUGAGUCCUGCGGGCCAGACAGCACAGCCCCGAGGAGACUGGGCUUGCAGAAAGCCUCCCUAAACCCUCCACGCAGCCUCCACGCACCUCUCUGAAGAGUGACCCAUACCUCGUCACCCACUGGCUUCAAGAUCGCCACUGACCCCCCGCCUUUUCCUGCAAGGAGCACCGCAGCCUGCAGGGUCAGCUCCAUCCUCCGGAGUCCUCCGGAUGCAGCCCGGCCUGAAGUCCUUCCUGAACACCUGUCGUCAGGACAUCUGGCCCCGACGGGACCCUCCCUGCCCCUCUAGGCUCCAAGGCGCUAAGGAUCACGAGAGUGCCUGUCUGUCCAGUGGUGUCCCCCUGCCACAGCUGUCGCCCACCCACCUUCAAGCAGAACAGAGCAGAGGGUCGAGUCUCUGUCGCAUCAGCUUUAGAUUCCCGCCUCCCUGUCCUGGGCCGCUCGCCACACCUUCGUCCUGGCGGUUCCCGCCAGCUUGUUCACAAACCGAAGGCCUCGAGUUUCUCUCCCCAGACUGUCCCAGCGUCCCCUUCAGAGAGGAGGCUGGCGUCUGAAGUCCCCCGUCCCAGUUGGAAUUAGCCGCUUCGCCCCAGAAUCUAGCUUGCUCCCCUGGGUCUGUCCCGAAUAGGGACCCGGCCGAAAUGUGUCAUCAUGCAAGACAGUCCUUCCUGGAACUCAAUCUGAGUGGCUUUUGGCAAAAACAGGAGACGAGCAGACAACAUCUUUCCCAACCUUGAUAACCACGUCAAGACGGGGCUCAGGCACUCCUGACCCUCCCCCAAUUAAAUAACCUCAAUUCCUUUCCUCAGAAGGAUCACCUGGAGCUCCCGUGGUGGCUCGGUAGUAACGAACCCAACUAGUAUCCCUGGCCUUGCUCAGUGGGUUAAGGAUCCAGUGUUGCCGUGAGCUGUGGUGUUGGUGGCAGAUGUGGCUCAGAUCUGGCGGAGGCUGAGCUGCAGCUUCAAUUCAACCCCUAGCCUGGGAACUUCCAUACACCAUGGAGCAGAGGCGCGGGGGUGAGACAUCCUGGAGGCCAGCUGGGAGGAGGCCUGUGCUUCCAGGAUGGAGCCCGGAGAGCAAGUCUUCAGUGCAGGUGGCCUGCUUCUCUCAGUCAACCAUGGGGAGCUGCUUAGAGGCUUGGAGCAGGGGAACAGCAAGGUCCCCGUUUUGACCCUGGGAUACAAUGGCUCUGGCCUCAGUUGUAAUUGGGUCCGCGCUGUGUCCUUACGUAGCCAAAUGCCACCCUCCACGCCAAACUGUCACUCUUGUCUCAUUCCACUUUGCCCUCACCACAGGUCUGUGGCAUCACCUUUCUGAUGCACACAGACAACAGUCAACGGAGGGGUGACUUUUCUAGCAACUGUGCAUAUUGUGUUUUUGCUUGGUUGCAGCAUGACAGUGGAAUCUCUCAUAAUCAGCUUCAACUGGUUCCAAGCCAGGGGACCCCCGGGCACUGGCCCAGGAUGGUUGGAGUUCACGCCGGCUUAUGCUGCUGUUCUUGCUGGUGAAUGGUGUCCCCCGCUUCUCUCACAAAUGUCCUGCUUUGGAAAAUAAGUCAUAUGG
rnacentral:lncRNA from 1 species